rnacentral:lncRNA from 1 species
UAUCAGUUAGAGGAUACAGAACAAGCAAGGCAUUGACCACAUACAUUAGUCUCCUGUAGCACAGAAUAUUGAAAUAAGACGAGGAAAAUAUUAUAACCAAAAUGUGGGCGGGAACUAGAACACGGAGGCUUCAGAGUUGGAAGUUUUUUCCCAAAGCGGAGGCAACUGCUGAUAAGCUCUGGUGGGGGAUUCCAUAAUCUAGGCAGUGUUGCAGAGAGAGGAAACAGAGAGUGUAGGGUAGAAGGCAUUUGUCAGGGAGAAGUGAUUAGGAGGUUGUGGUAAAAAAUAAGGGAUCCCUACGCAGGGACACUGGAUCCGAGAAAAGCGGCAUUGCAGGAAAAUUAGUGAGGUGGGAUACACAGGGCUGAUUGAAAUGCCAAAGAAGAGGCUACGGAGAAAGGACAGAAGGAGGAAUCAGCUCACUUCAAGGGCUGGAGUCUGAGUUCCUGGGAGGAUGGUCAUGCCAUUGACAGAAAUCUAGAACGCGGGUUAAGGGGCACCUCGUGGUGGGGAUGGAGAGCAUAGUAAAUGUGAUCCAUCCUGCCGAGGUUGAUUUUAAGGAGCUGAUUAGACCUGCCGUGUAAAGUGUCAUUAGACCUGAGCUAGAGCUCAGGAGAGGGGUCAAGCCAUUUUGAAACCAUCAGGAAAGAGGAAAAGCCAUCGGGACUGUGAAACUCUAGGAGGAAAAUGAGAAGGGUCCAGGGGAUGAAGGCAACAGUUUCAGGCCGUUGACUGGAAGGGGAGGCAAAUCGACUCUCCGUGAGGAUGUGGACACUGAGGGUCGGAAAGCUUAAACGACUCAUCGGAGGCCACACAGCUAAUUUGUGACCUGAAGGAAGUCCAACCCGAGUGGGUCUGAUUUGGGAAGCCACUCCCUCCGAUUCCACCAGCCCGCCACCUGGCACCCCGCCUCAGUCCAAGGUCCACCGCACCACCUUCUACCCCUUCCACGUCCUGGAGGCGGCAACUUCUGCUCGACACAGCCCAAACGACUCCAAAAACAGAGCCUGCUUAUUGCCGGCAAGAGACUCGGGAAGAGGACCUUGGCUCCGUUGUCAGGCAGCCCCCGGCACUCCCAUCUGGAAGAAACUCAUUGGAGCCGACGUAAGUGACCUGUAACUUAGAACCGGCGAGCCAGGGUCAGGAAUAAUCAAGCCUCAGCCCGGUAAUUUAUCAACACCUAGAAGCGCGCUUCCGAGGCUGCCUGUCUCUUUCAGUUGUUCAGGCACGGGCCACACAGCUCUCCCUCAGUCCUCCAGUGGCAGGAGGACUUCAUAAAUGACAUUUGAUUAUGCUCAACACAGCAGCCAGUACACCAACCGCAAUAAAGACAGCAAACACGAGCGAUCUCCA